rnacentral:rRNA from 1 species
CAGUAGCCACGGGAAUACGGAAGGUCCAGGCGUUAUCCGGAUUUAUUGGGUUUAAAGAGAGUGUAGGCGGUCUGUUAAGCGUGUUGUGAAAUUUAGGUGCUCAACAUCUAACUUGCAGCGCGAACUGGCGGACUUGAGUGCACGCAACGUACGCGGAAUUCAUGGUGUAGCGGUGAAAUGCUUAGAUAUCAUGACGAACUCCGAUUGCGAAGGAAGCGUACGGGAGUGUUACUGACGCUUGAGCUCGAAGGUGCGGGUAUCGAACAGGAUUAGAUACCCCCGUAGUCCCUGUCUCUUAUAC